rnacentral:rRNA from 1 species
GAUGAACGCUAGCGGCAGGCCUAAUACAUGCAAGUCGAACGGGAUCUGAGGGUAGCUUGCUACCCGAUUUGAGAGUGGCGCACGGGUGCGUAACGCGUGAGCAACCUACCCAUAUCAGGGGGAUAGCCCGAAGAAAUUCGGAUUAACACCGCAUAAUAAUACGCUAACACAUGUUAAUGUAUUUAAAUAUUUAUAGGAUAUGGAUGGGCUCGCGUGACAUUAGCUAGUUGGUAAGGUAACGGCUUACCAAGGGGACGAUGUCUAGGGGCUCUGGGAGGAGAAGCCCCCACACUGGUACUGAGACACGGACAAGACUCCUACGGGAGGCAGCAGUAAGGAAUAUUGGUCAAUGGGCGCAAGCCUGAACCAGCCAUGCCGCGUGCAGGAUGACUGCCCUAUGGGUUGUAAACUGCUUUUGUUAGGGAAUAAACCUACUUAUGUAUAAGUAGCUGAAUGUACCUAAAGAAUAAGGAUCGGCUAACUCCGUGCCAGCAGCCGCAGUAA